CCUGAACGCUGGCGGCGUGGCUAAGACAUGCAAGUCGAACGGACGUAGCAAUACGUCAGUGGCGGACGGGUGAGUAAUGUAUCGCUAAUGUACCCUGGAGUUUGGGAUAGCUGACCGAAAGGUCAGGUAAUACCGGAUGACAUCCCCUUGUCGCAUGGCGAGGGUCUCAAAGGAGCAAUCCGCUCUGGGAGCAGGCGAUAUCGUAUCAGGUAGUUGGNGAGGUAACGGCUCACCAAGCCGACGACGCGUAGCUGGUCUGAGAGGACGGCCAGCCACAUCGGGACUGAGACACUGCCCGGACUCCUACGGGGGGCGUGCAGUAACGAAUCUUCCACAAUGCACGAAAGUGUGAUGGAGCGACGCCGCGUGUAGGAUGAAGUCC
rnacentral:rRNA from 1 species